AUUGAACGCUGGCGGCAUGCCUUACACAUGCAAGUCGAACGGCAGCACGGGUGCUUGCACCUGGUGGCGAGCGGCGAACGGGUGAGUAAUACAUCGGAACAUGUCCUGUAGUGGGGGAUAGCCCGGCGAAAGCCGGAUUAAUACCGCAUACGAUCUACGGAUGAAAGCGGGGGACCUUCGGGCCUCGCGCUAUAGGGUUGGCCGAUGGCUGAUUAGCUAGUUAGUGGGGUAAAGGCCUACCAAGGCGACGAUCAGUAGCUGGUCUGAGAGGACGACCAGCCACACUGGGACUGAGACACGGCCCAGACUCCUACGGGAGGCAGCAGUGGGGAAUUUUGGACAAUGGGCGAAAGCCUGAUCCAGCAAUGCCGCGUGUGUGAAGAAGGCCUUCGGGUUGUAAAGCACUUUUGUCCGGAAAGAAAUCCUUGGCCCUAAUACGGUCGGGGGAUGACGGUACCGGAAGAAUAAGCACCGGCUAACUACGUG
rnacentral:rRNA from 1 species